GAUGAACGCUAGCGGCAGGCUUAACACAUGCAAGUCGAGGGGUAUUGGUUUUCGGACCAAGAGACCGGCGCACGGGUGCGUAACGCGUAUGCAAUCUACCUUUUGCAGAGGGAUAGCCCCAGAGAAAUUUGGAUUAAUACCUCAUAGUAUAGUACUUUGGCAUCAAGGAACUAUUAAAGUCACAACGGCAAAAGAUGAGCAUGCGUCCAUUAGCUAGUUGGUAAGGUAACGGCUUACCAAGGCUACGAUGGGUAGGGGUCCUGAGAGGGAGAUCCCCCANACUGGUACUGAGACACGGACCAGACU
rnacentral:rRNA from 1 species